UCCUCCUACGGGAGGCAGCAGUGGGGGAUAUUGCACAAUGGGGGGAACCCUGAUGCAGCGACGCCGCGUGAACGAAGAAAUAUUUCGGUAUGUAAAGAUCUAUCAGCAGGGAAGAAAAUGACAGUACCUGACCAAGAAGCCCCGGCUAACUACGUGCCAGCAGCCGCGGUAAUACAUAGGGGGCGAGCGUUAUCCGGAUUCAAUGGGCGUAAAGGUAGCGCAGGCGGAACGGCAAGUCCGGUGUGAAAGCCCGGGGCCCAACCCCGGGACGGCACUGGAAACUGCCGGGCUGGAGUGUCGGAGGG
rnacentral:rRNA from 1 species